AUCUUUUUGUUCCUGAAUCAGAUCGAAAGAGAAAAACCAGAUCUAAAAAAAGGAGAAACCAUAGAAGAGAGAGAGAGAGAGGCGAUUCCAGAAUUGGAGAUAUUUUGUUCAUCUCGAUUCAUCAUUGAAAACAAGAAAGCAUUUUAGGUUUUGGUUCAUCUCGAUUCAUCUCCAUUAGUUGUCGCUUGAAAAAAUUAUAAUAUCUAUAAUUUCAUUUCUCGAUUCUCAGAGAACAAAGAAAAAAGAUGGAACUUAAACUGAUAUAUUUCUAGCGUCGUACUUUAUGGAUCUUCAACCUGCAAGUGCUAGAGAUGAUUUUGAUUACUUUAUGAAACUUCUCCUCAUGGUUGAUAACGGCUUACUUGGAAGAGUAUAUAUUUCGUUGGUUCUUCGAAGAAAGUAAUGCAAUUAUUUCUGCAAUUGAGUUUCAUUUUAUAAUGCAAGGCCUUAGCUAGAUAGAAAGCUAUAUGUAGUUUUAUCUGAUUAUGGUAUGCUGCAAAGAAAAUUAUGGACAACAAAAAUGUGGAUUCUGGUGAAGACGGUCCAGUUGAGUCUGUCAGUGAUGAUGAAGACGACGAUAAGGAAAUGUUGGAUCCUGAUUUUGAAGGCUCUGAUACUGAUGACUCGGACAAGGAAAGUAGUUUAUCAGCAUAUGAAAACGAUGGUGAUGUUAAUAAUGUUUUAAUUGGAUGGACGAGCCGUAUAAGAUUUAAGGUUAGGUAUCUCGAUGAAGAGAUUGUUCCCAUGGACUUGUUGUAUAUGAUGGAGAGUUUGUUUUUGAAGCUGCUCAGAUCUUUGCAUCAUUCAAUGAUAUAAUUAUUGUUAGCUUGGCGUGUUUGAUAUUUUUUUUCAGUCUGUGCAGACUAGAGUGGCAGUCUGACUAUCAUGAAUGUUGGAUUUUCUAUAUUUUUUGCCGAUGUGUACAUAGUUGUACACUAGUGUGAAUUAAAAAAAUUUAAAAAGUGAAAAUUAUAUGGUCAGUACUCUUUUUGUAGAUAUCGAAAAGAGCUUUCCGAAUAUAUAAAGUUUGUGAAUUUUGGACGAGCAUUUAAUUAUUUAUAUAUUAUUUAAAAUUGCUGA